GAUGAAGAACGCAGCGAAAUGCGAUACGUAAUGUGAAUUGCAGAAUUCAGUGAAUCAUCGAAUCUUUGAACGCACAUUGCGCCCGCCAGUAUUCUGGCGGGCAUGCCUGUCUGAGCGUCAUUUCAACCCUCAUGCCCCUAGGGCGUGGUGUUGGGGAUCGGCCAAAGCCCGCGAGGGACGGCCGGCCCCUAAAUCUAGUGGCGGACCCGUCGUGGCCUCCUCUGCGAAGUAGUGAUAUUCCGCAUCGGAGAGCGAUGAGCCCCUGCCGUUAAACCCCCAACUUUCCAAGGUUGACCUCAGAUCAGGUAGGAAUACCCGCUGAACUUAAGCAUAUCAAUAAGCGAGGA
rnacentral:misc_RNA from 1 species